CUGUAGAUCAGCUUUACAUUGAUGUGUUGUCUCCUGCUGAGGAGGGUUUUCUGUUCGUUUUGAAGGAAGAGCCAGCCAACCUGACCAACGGGGAAUCCUCUCCAUGAUGUAGCCUAGCUGGAACCCCUUGGAAGUGGAAGAAAAUUGGAGGGAGAGGUGGAAAAUAACAUCUGAAAUCCUGGUGUUGCCGAGAUUUCCCACACCUCAGCUGCGGUGAUUUCAAGGAUAAGCCAUGUAUCAAAAGUUGCAGAGCUUAAUGAAGAAGAGGGAAGAAGUGCAAUCUUUUUAGAUGCUUCUCCCUAACACUGAACAUCUGAGGACACCAGCUAUAACAUAC